rnacentral:rRNA from 1 species
UGGGGAAUAUUGGACAAUGGGGGGAACCCUGAUCCAGCCAUGCCGCGUGUGUGAAGAAGGCCUUAUGGUUGAAAAGCACUUUAAGCGAGGAGGAGGGUACUGGUAUUAAUACUACCAGCUACUGGACGUUACUCGCAGAAUAAGCACCGGCUAACUCUGUGCCAGCAGCCGCGGUAAUACAGAGGGUGCGAGCGUUAAUCGGAUUUACUGGGCGUAAAGCGUGCGUAGGCGGCUAAUUGAGUCGGAUGUGAAAUCCCCGAGCUUAACUUGGGAAUUGCAUUCGAUACUGGUUAGCUAGAGUGUGGGAGAGGAUGGUAGAAUUCCAGGUGUAGCGGUGAAAUGCGUAGAGAUCUGGAGGAAUACCGAUGGCGAAGGCAGCCAUCUGGCCUAACACUGACGCUGAGGUACGAAAGCAUGGGGAGCAAACAGG